rnacentral:rRNA from 1 species
GACGAACGCUGGCGGCGUGCCUAAUACAUGCAAGUAGAACGCUGAAGAGAGGAGCUUGCUCUUCUUGGAUGAGUUGCGAACGGGUGAGUAACGCGUAGGUAACCUGCCUUGUAGCGGGGGAUAACUAUUGGAAACGAUAGCUAAUACCGCAUAACAAUGGAUGACACAUGUCAUUUAUUUGAAAGGGGCAAUUGCUCCACUACAAGAUGGACCUGCGUUGUAUUAGCUAGUAGGUGAGGUAAUGGCUCACCUAGGCGACGAUACAUAGCCGACCUGAGAGGGUGAUCGGCCACACUGGGACUGAGACACGGCCCAGACUCCUACGGGAGGCAGCAGUAGGGAAUCUUCGGCAAUGGGGGCAACCCUGACCGAGCAACGCCGCGUGAGUGAAGAAGGUUUUCGGAUCGUAAAGCUCUGUUGUAAGUCAAGAACGGGUAUGAGAGUGGAAAGUUCACACUGUGACGGUAGCUUACCAGAAAGGGACGGCUAACUACGUGCCAGCAGCCGCGGUAAUACGUAGGUCCCGAGCGUUGUCCGGAUUUAUUGGGCGUAAAGCGAGCGCAGGCGGUUUGAUAAGUCUGAAGUUAAAGGCUGUGGCUCAACCAUAGUUCGCUUUGGAAACUGUCAAACUUGAGUGCAGAAGGGGAGAGUGGAAUUCCAUGUGUGGCGGUGAAAUGCGUAGAUAUAUGGAGGAACACCGGUGGCGAAAGCGGCUCUCUGGUCUGUAACUGACGCUGAGGCUCGAAAGCGUGGGGAGCGAACAGGAUUAGAUACCCUGGUAGUCCACGCCGUAAACGAUGAGUGCUAGGUGUUGGAUCCUUUCCGGGAUUCAGUGCCGCAGCUAACGCAUUAAGCACUCCGCCUGGGGAGUACGACCGCAAGGUUGAAACUCAAAGGAAUUGACGGGGGCCCGCACAAGCGGUGGAGCAUGUGGUUUAAUUCGAAGCAACGCGAAGAGCCUUACCAGGUCUUGACAUCCCGAUGCUAUUUCUAGAGAUAGAAAGUUACUUCGGUACAUCGGUGACAGGUGGUGCAUGGUUGUCGUCAGCUCGUGUCGUGAGAUGUUGGGUUAAGUCCCGCAACGAGCGCAACCCCUAUUGUUAGUUGCCAUCAUUCAGUUGGGCACUCUAGCGAGACUGCCGGUAAUAAACCGGAGGAAGGUGGGGAUGACGUCAAAUCAUCAUGCCCCUUAUGACCUGGGCUACACACGUGCUACAAUGGUUGGUACAACGAGUUGCGAGUCGGUGACGGCGAGCUAAUCUCUUAAAGCCAAUCUCAGUUCGGAUUGUAGGCUGCAACUCGCCUACAUGAAGUCGGAAUCGCUAGUAAUCGCGGAUCAGCACGCCGCGGUGAAUACGUUCCCGGGCCU